rnacentral:rRNA from 1 species
CCUACGGGGGGCAGCAGUGAGGAAUAUUGGUCAAUGGACGAGAGUCUGAACCAGCCAAGUAGCGUGAAGGAUGACUGCCCUAUGGGUUGUAAACUUCUUUUAUCAAGGAAUAAAACGAGGCACGUGUGCCUUUUUGCAUGUACUUUAUGAAUAAGGAUCGGCUAACUCCGUGCCAGCAGCCGCGGUUAUACGGAGGAUCCGAGCGUUAUCCGGAUUUAUUGGGUUUAAAGGGAGCGUAGAUGGGUUGUUAAGUCAGUUGGGAAAGUUUGCGGCUCAACCGUAAAAGUGCAAUUGAUACUGGCAGUCUUGAGUGCAGUUGAGGUAGGCGGAAUUCGUGGUGUAGCGGUGAAAUGCUUAGAUAUCACGAAGAACCCCGAUUGCGAAGGCAGCUUACUAAACUGUGACUGACAUUGAUGCUCGAAAGUGUGGGUAUCAAACAGGAUUAGAUACCCUAGUAGUC